rnacentral:rRNA from 1 species
AUUGAACGCUGGCGGCAGGCCUAACACAUGCAAGUCGAACGGUAGCACAGAGAGCUUGCUCUCGGGUGACGAGUGGCGGACGGGUGAGUAAUGUCUGGGAGACUGCCCGAUGGAGGGGGAUAACUACUGGAAACGGUAGCUAAUACCGCAUAACGUCGCAAGACCAAAGUGGGGGACCUUCGGGCCUCACACCAUCGGAUGUGCCCAGAUGGGAUUAGCUAGUAGGUGGGGUAAUGGCUCACCUAGGCGACGAUCCCUAGCUGGCCUGAGAGGGUAACCAGCCACACUGGAACUGAGACACGGUCCAGACUCCUACGGGAGGCAGCAGUGGGGAAUAUUGCACAAUGGGCGCAAGCCUGAUGCAGCCAUGCCGCGUGUAUGAAGAAGGCCUUCGGGUUGUAAAGUACUUUCAGCGGGGAGGAAGGCGGUGAAGUUAAUAGCUUCACCGAUUGACGUUACCCGCAGAAGAAGCACCGGCUAACUCCGUGCCAGCCGCCGCCGUAA